GACAGUUGGCGGGUGAUUAAGAUGAUUGCUGGAAAAUAUUGUUCCGCUUUUCGAGACAUCGGAGGGAAAGAAUCUGAGCUAGUGGAGAAAAUAUAUAUCUGAGGUGCUGCAUGAGUUGAAGAAAUCCAGAACUGGGCUGAUAAUUCUUGCUUUCAUUAUCGCACUGUGAGUUUUGAUGUCAUAUUUUUGAGCUUGAUUGAAGAGGUCGGAAGAAAGAAAAACCACUGAGAAGGCGAAGAAACAAAAUGAGAGAGGAGGG